UGGGGAAUAUUGCACAAUGGGCGAAAGCCUGAUGCAACAACGCCGCGUGAGUGAUGAAGGCCUUCGGGUUGUAAAGCUCUGCCUUUUGGGACGAUAAUGACGGUACCAAAGGAGGAAGCCACGGCUAACUACGUGCCAGCAGCCGCGGUAAUACGUAGGUGGCAAGCGUUGUCCGGAUUUACUGGGCGUAAAGGAUGCGUAGGCGGAUUUUUAAGUGAGAUGUGAAAUACCCGGGCUUAACUUGGGUGCUGCAUUUCAAACUGGGAAUCUAGAGUGCGGGAGAGGAGAAUGGAAUUCCUAGUGUAGCGGUGAAAUGCGUAGAGAUUAGGAAGAACACCAGUGGCGAAGGCGAUUCUCUGGACCGUAACUGACGCUGAGGCAUGAAAGCGUGGGUAGCAAACAGGAUUAGAUACCCUGGUAGUCCACGCCGUAAACGAUGAGUACUAGGUGUAGGAGGUAUCGACCCCUUCUGUGCCGCAGUUAACACAAUAAGUACUCCGCCUGGGAAGUACGAUCGCAAGAUUAAAACUCAAAUGAAUUGACGGGGUC
rnacentral:rRNA from 1 species